rnacentral:lncRNA from 1 species
GGAUGGAUGGAUGGAUGGAUGGAUGGAGGAGGUCCUGGUGCCCCAGCCCUCAGGUCACCACCCCUGUCCCCAGGGUGACCCUGCGCCGGGCAUCCUCUGGGAAGAGCCGCAAGGAGAAGAGCAGCAACCGCCUGUCCAUGGGCAGCAGGUGAGGGACGUCCCCCGGGACAGGGGGACAGCCCGGGGACAGCCUGGGACAGCCCGGGGACAGCCCGGGGACAGCCCGGGGCAGCCCCUGACACUCCUGGGUCCCUAGGGAGGCGGCGGAGGGGCCCGGCCGCCCCUCGGGGUCCCCGUUCCUGCCCUUCUCCUGGUUCUCGGACAGCGCCAGGGGCUCGGGCUCGCCCGGCUCCGCGUCCCCCGCGGGGUCCCCCCGGCACGAGGGGCUCAGCCCCCCCAAAUCCGGCUCGCAGGACUCGGAGCUGAGCGAGGAUUCGCCGCCGUCCAGCGCCAGCCCCCGCCUGCCCGAGCCCCCCAAGUGCUCGUACCCCUACCACAGCCUGUCCCAGUCCUCGGACGAGCUGCCGGAGGGGCCGGUGGGCGCGGCUGCGGGCUGGACGUGCGGCCAGGUGGGCGAGUGGCUGCGGAGCCUGGGGCUGGAGCGCCACGUGCGGGAAUUCGCCGAGCGCGGCGUGGACGGGCCCCGCCUGCUGCGCCUCGACGGGGCCAAGCUCAAGGCGCUGGGCGUGGGCAGCUCCCAGGAGCGAGCGGUGCUGAAGCGGCGGCUCAAGGAGCUGAGCGGGGCCCGCCAGAAGGCGGAGAAGCAGCGGGAGAAGCAGAAGAAGAAGGAGCAGGAGAAGCGGCGGAGCUGAACGGGGUGGGGAGGGGUCUUCACACCCCCUUCCCCACCCGCAGCCCCCCCACGGGACGCGGGGCACGGCCAAGGGAGCAGCGCCUGCCCCCUCCCCACCCAGUCCUGUCACCACCCCCGAGGGGUCCCCACCCCGUGUCCCCCGGCACAGGAGGGGACAGGGCAUGCCCUGACCCCCCCCCCAACACACACACCCCCAAAUUGGGGGCGGGGAGUGAACCUCGCCCCCCACCCCACCCCAAACGUGGCCCCCCGAGGCCACCCCAGGAAAUAAAAGGGUAUCAAG